GUGAAUCAUCGAAUCUUUGAACGCACCUUGCGCCCUCUGGUAUUCCGGAGGGCAUGCCUGUUUGAGUGUCAUGUAGACUCAAUCCCUCGGGUUUCCGAGGAGAUUGGACUUGGGUGUUGCCGCUCUGCCGGCUCGCCUUAAAAGACUUAGCGGGAUAGCACCGUAGUCGGCGUAAUGAGUUUCGUCGGUGAAGGUUGUGAUGACUGCUUACAAUCGCCCUUGGGCAAUUUUUGACUCUGACCUCAAAUCAGGUAGGACUACCCGCUGAACUUAAGCAUAUCAAUAAGCGGAGGA
rnacentral:misc_RNA from 1 species